rnacentral:rRNA from 1 species
CCUACGGGAGGCAGCAGUGGGGAAUAUUGGGCAAUGGAGGAAACUCUGACCCAGCGACGCCGCGUGCGGGAUGAAGGCCUUCGGGUUGUAAACCGCUUUCAGCAGGGAAGAAGCGAAAGUGACGGUACCUGCAGAAGAAGCACCGGCUAACUAUGUGCCAGCAGCCGCGGUAAUACAUAGGGUGCAAGCGUUGUCCGGAAUUAUUGGGCGUAAAGAGCUCGUAGGUGGUUCGUCACGUCGGAUGUGAAAAUCUGGGGCUUAACCCCAGACCUGCAUUCGAUACGGGCGAGCUUGAGUAUGGUAGGGGAGUCUGGAAUUCCUGGUGUAGCGGUGGAAUGCGCAGAUAUCAGGAGGAACACCAAUGGCGAAGGCAGGACUCUGGGCCAUUACUGACACUGAGGAGCGAAAGCGUGGGGAGCGAACAGGAUUAGAUACCCUGGUAGUCCACGCCGUAAACGGUGGGCACUAGUUGUGGGGACCUUCCACGGUCUCCGCGACGCNGCUACGACAUAGUAGCCCGCCGCGGGAGGUACGAGUCGCGAGAAGUUAAACGUAACGUAAAGUAAGUUAGUUACGGUCGUUAGAGUACGCGACGGACGACGACGACGGAGGAGGAG